rnacentral:rRNA from 1 species
UACGGGGGGGGCAAGCGUUGUUCGGAUUCACUGGGCGUAAAGGGUGCGUAGGUGGUGAGGUAAGUCGGAUGUGAAAUCUCCAGGCUCAACCUGGAAACUGCAUUGGAAACUACCUUGCUAGAGGUUUUGAGGGGGGACUGGAAUUCUCGGUGUAGCAGUGAAAUGCGUAGAUAUCGAGAGGAACACCAGUGGCGAAGGCGAGUCCCUGGAAAACACCUGACACUGAGGCACGAAAGCUAGGGGAGCAAACAGG